rnacentral:rRNA from 1 species
UACACUCCUACGGGAGGCAGCAGUGGGGAAUUUUGGACAAUGGGCGAAAGCCUGAUCCAGCAAUGCCGCGUGUGUGAAGAAGGCCUUCGGGUUGUAAAGCACUUUUGUCCGGAAAGAAAUCCUUGGCUCUAAUACAGUCGGGGGAUGACGGUACCGGAAGAAUAAGCACCGGCUAACUACGUGCCAGCAGCCGCGGUAAUACGUAGGGUGCGAGCGUUAAUCGGAAUUACUGGGCGUAAAGCGUGCGCAGGCGGUUUGCUAAGACCGAUGUGAAAUCCCCGGGCUCAACCUGGGAACUGCAUUGGUGACUGGCAGGCUAGAGUAUGGCAGAGGGGGGUAGAAUUCCACGUGUAGCAGUGAAAUGCGUAGAGAUGUGGAGGAAUACCGAUGGCGAAGGCAGCCCCCUGGGCCAAUACUGACGCUCAUGCACGAAAGCGUGGGGAGCAAACAGGAUUAGAAACCCGUGUAGUCCCAUG